UAUGAAAUCAACAAGCGAAUUUAUCAUCACAAAGGGGUUUUGGGGAUGGGCACGAUCGUAUGUCAAACGUGUGAUGCGACGAUUGCGUAUUUCGAAGAUGAAAAAGUGACAACGCUUUAUGGGAAAUGUGAUUGCUGCGAGCAUGACAAUGAGGGCGGAGAAAAAGAAUAAAACGGUCAAACCGAUGGGGGAAAGGAACGGAUAGAGGCGCGCAUGUCGACAAGUCACAUGCGCGCCGUUUAUUUUU
rnacentral:sRNA from 1 species